rnacentral:rRNA from 1 species
UACGGGGGGGGCAAGCGUUGUUCGGAUUCAUUGGGCGUAAAGGGUGCGUAGGCGGCGCGGUAAGUCGGGUGUGAAAUCUUGGAGCUUAACUCCGAAACUGCAUUCGAUACUGCCGUGCUUGAGGACUGGAGAGGAGACUGGAAUUUACGGUGUAGCGGUGAAAUGCGUAGAUAUCGUAAGGAAGACCAGUGGCGAAGGCGGGUCUCUGGACAGUUCCUGACGCUGAGGCACGAAGGCCAGGGGAGCAAACGGG